rnacentral:rRNA from 1 species
UGGGGAAUAUUGGACAAUGGGCGAAAGCCUGAUCCAGCAAUACCGCGUGUGUGAAGAAGGCCUUCGGGUUGUAAGGCACUUUAAGUUGGGAAGAAAAAGCUUCACCUAAUACGUGAAGCCUUGACGGUACCGACAGAAUAAGCACCGGCUAACUCUGUGCCAGCAGCCGCGGUAAUACAGAGGGUGCUAGCGUUAAUCGGAUUUACUGGGCGUAAAGCGUGCGUAGGUGGUUUGAUAAGUCGAUUGUGAAAGCCCCGGGCUUAACCUGGGAAUUGCGGUCGAUACUGUCAGACUCGAAAACGGUAGAGGGAGGUGGAACUCCCGGUGUAGCGGUGAAAUGCGUAGAUAUCUGGAAGAACACCGAUGGCGAAGGCAGCCUCCUGGGCCUGUUUUGACACUGAGGCACGAAAGCGUGGGUAGCAAACAGGAUUAGAUACCCUGGUAGUCCACGCCGUAAACGAUGAGAACUUGACGUUGGUUUGCUUAGCAAAUCGGUGUCGUAGCUAACGCGAUAAGUUCUCCGCCUGGGGAGUACGGCCGCAAGGUUG